rnacentral:rRNA from 1 species
GACGUAGGGCGCGAGCGUGUCCGGAUUUAUUGGGCGUAAAGAGCUCGUAGGCGGCUUGUCGCGUCGUCCGUGAAAACCCAUGGCUCAACUGUGGGCUUGCGGUCGAUACGGGCAGGCUGGAGUUCGGUAGGGGAGACUGGAAUUCCGGGUGUAGCGGUGGAAUGCGUAGAGAUCCGGAAGAACACCGGUGGCGAAGGCGGCCCGCUGGGCAGGAAGACGGGGCAACCCGUCGGCUGACACUGAGGCGCGACAGCGUGGGGAGCAAACAGGG